rnacentral:rRNA from 1 species
UACGUAGGGGGCGAGCGUUGUCCGGAAUCAUUGGGCGUAAAGCGCGUGUAGGCGGCCCGGUAAGUCCGCUGUGAAAGUCCAGGGCUCAACCCUGGGAUGCCGGUGGAUACUGUCGGGCUCGAGUCCGGAAGAGGCGAGUGGAAUUCCUGGUGUAGCGGUGAAAUGCGCAGAUAUCAGGAGGAACACCAAUGGCGAAGGCAGCUCGCUGGGACGUGACUGACGCUGAGACGCGAAAGUGUGGGGAGCAAACAGG